rnacentral:misc_RNA from 1 species
AAUUUAUCUACGUGAGGCAAGGGCAGAUGAAGACUUAAAGUUACGGAUCAACUCAAUAGCUUUUGCCUGAAUCCUAUAUUUCUAUCUAAGAAUUCACUCAAUAUCAAUACAUAUUUGAUCGUGAACACAGUACAGGAACCAGUAAACUUCAAAUUCUGAAUCUGCCUCUACUUUCGGGAACAUGAAAAGGGCACUGCAUUUGCAUGAUACUUAGAAGCUAUGAUACAGUAUUGAUCAAUAAUUUGCUGCAACUAUGGAUCACCUUGUCAUAAAGCACUGUGUAAUUUGAGCUGCUUAUGUUCCUGAAGUAGCAGCCUUUGUCGUCGUUGUAUUUGUAUAUCUGUUGUGUGCUCCCGACUCCACUGUCUAUCGACUGAUCCUUUACAAGCAUACACCCCUGCGCGUUCUGCAGAUUGUGAACAGAGCUGGCUGAGGAUCCAUACUUCAACCUCUUUUCAUGGAAUAUCAAAGUCACAUUCGAGAUAGAAGCAUAGCUUUUAUCUCCUAUCUCAACACCAUCAGAGUACAAGUGAAGCUGAAACUUUUUGAAGGAUUCAAGAACCUGAACAGAAAAAGACCGCGUCUUAG